rnacentral:rRNA from 1 species
GACGAACGCUGGCGGCGUGCUUAACACAUGCAAGUCGAACGGAAAGGCCCUGCUUUUGUGGGGUGCUCGAGUGGCGAACGGGUGAGUAACACGUGAGUAACCUGCCCUUGACUUUGGGAUAACUUCAGGAAACUGGGGCUAAUACCGGAUAGGAGCUCCUGCUGCAUGGUGGGGGUUGGAAAGUUUCGGCGGUUGGGGAUGGACUCGCGGCUUAUCAGCUUGUUGGUGGGGUAGUGGCUUACCAAGGCUUUGACGGGUAGCCGGCCUGAGAGGGUGACCGGCCCCAAUGGGAAUGGGGUUCCGGCCCGGCUCCUUACGGGGGGCAGCGGUGGGGAUAUUUGCCCAUGGGGCGGACGCUGGUGGCAGCACCCCGCCGUGCGGGAUGCCGGCCUUCGGUUGGUAACCGCUUUUGGCUGUGACCGAGGCGUGGUUGCCGUUAUGGGUAAAGAAGCACCGGCUAACUACGUG